rnacentral:lncRNA from 1 species
UGUUGCCACAAGUAUUUGAAGUCUCUAUUUUGGGUCAGGGAUAUAUCCCAGUGUAAUAUAGCACACACUUAGCAUGUGCUACGGCCCUUGGUUCUACUGCAGUACCAAAAAUAAAAUACAAAUGCUAUUUCUUUAAAAAGCUACAUCCAAGUGACAAGGCGUAAUAUAAGCCCAGCACUAAGAAAGGUGAAGUGAGAGGAUCAAGAGUUCCAGGCCAGCUUAUACCAUUUUCUUGACCCUUUACUCAAUAAGAAAGAUAAGCCACAGCCUAAAGAGAACUCCCAGGUUGAGUCCUGAUCAGUAGAAAUGGGUGAAUUACAUGUCUAAUUGGUUCUGCAUCUGAACCUUUUUCCCUCCUUACAUAUUGCAUUCUCUGAUUCUUCAAAGUUGAAGGGCCAGGAAAACGGCUCAGUUUGGUAAAGUGCACUCGGUGAAAUCAUGAAGACCUUAGGUCAGGUCCCCAGCCCCCAGGAACGUGUCUAUAAUCUCAGCACUAGGGAGGUAACUGACUGGAUCUCAUUAGCCAGCCAAUCUAGACAGACUAGUGAGCUCUAGGUUUAGUGGGAGACCCUGUCUCAAAAAUAAGACUAGUGAGAUCGAGGUCGAAGAUACUCUCAAGCUAGCCUCUGGCCUCUACUUUCGUGUUAAGCCCCACAAACCCACCACAAAAAGAUUGAAUUGAUACUGGGCACUCUUGAGGCUGAGACUGGAGGGUAACAAAUUCAAGACCAGCCUGUAAGACUUAGUAAGACCCUGUCUCAAAAUAUGAGAAAGAGGACUGGGCAUAUAGCUUAGUGGUAGAGCACUUGGCCUGGUGUGGGAAAGACUCUAGAACCAUCCUAAAGGAACAGAAAAGCUUGGCCUGUCCCUGUAAGCCAGCACUCAGGAGGCAGAGGCAAGCUAGGGUAACAUAGGGAAACCCUGUUGAAACGAGGAAGCAAGCAGACCAAAUUCCUUUAAGUUGGCAGUGUUGGCAGAUGGUGUUCUUGAGACCCUGGGUUCUUCCCCAUUGCUGUAACGAUGUUCAGUUAAGCACAGUGGCUGUUUGGAAACUUCAGCAUUGUCUUUCACUGUCUGCUUUGGGUUCCUGACGGUUUGAAACUUUUACCUUAUGAACCAGAUCCAGCCUGGCACCUGUAUGUAUGACCUGUGAUCUAAAAGUGAGCAUUCAGAAUGUUCGAAAAAAAAAAGUUGUAGGACGUGACAUAAAUUUUAGUGCUCAUAGUUUUAUUGUAGACACCGUGUACAGUUUACAUAUAACUGUGACCUGCUUGGAGUAGGGGAGAAGCUAAGACAUGAACUUUUCAUUUAUCAAAGGCCAUAGAACUAAGCUGGGCAGUGGUGGCACACACUUCUGAUCUUAACUCUUGGGACGGUAGGACCAGGCUGGCCUCGAACUCAGAAAUCUGCCUGACUCUGCCUCCCGAGUGCUGGGAUUAAAGGCGUGUGCCACCAUGCCCGGCGGUUUGUUCUCUUUUAUUCUCAGAUAUGCCUGGCAUGGUACUGUGAUUGCAUUUUCUAUACAGCUUUUUACUUUCCCUGGAGUUAGCCAUUGAUUUAUAUGUUUUUUUUCCUCCAUACUGAUCAGUAGAUCGUUCACACUUUCACAGGAUCAUAGAGGUCUUUUUCCUGCUGUGUUCAGAACACACCCAGCAUUUAUCAUGUGGGAUUCCCUGGCUGGAUAAAGGUGUGGGGACUUCUUUAAUCUUCUGUUAGGACUGUGUGGAUUUACUCCUUAGUAAGCACUGAGUGACUUACAGCAUCGGCUGAGCCUGCCCUCCUGGCCGCAGUCCUGACAUAAAUGAUUCGAUGUGUAACUUUGGACAGAUCAGUCUCCUUGUACCCAAGGUUCUGGUGUGAAUGAGGAGUGUGAUUCUCUUACCCAUAACAGAAUUGUGCUUUAAGUUUUUGGUUUGUUUUGGUGAUAAUGUUCUUCUUUAAGAUUUUUUUAUUAUUAUACGUUAAGUACACUGUUGCUGUCUUCAGACGUACUGGCAGAGGGCGUCAGAUCUCAUUAUGGGUGGUUGUGAACCACCAUGUGGUUGCUGGGAUUUGAACUCAAGACCUUCGGAAGAGCAGUCAGUGAGUGCUCUUACUCACUGAGCCAUAUCGCCAGCCCAUGCUUUAAGUUUUUGAGGAAUCUUCAUGCUGUGUUCCAUAGCGGCUGUACAUGUUAUAUUCCCAGCAAGUGUUAGCCUAAAUAAUACAGGGUGGCUCUCCAGCACAGCAGAUUGCAAUGGCAGGGAAACCCAAGCAGAAUACAGUAGCCAUCAUGGACAUAGAGGGCACAGGAAGACAAGCACACCAAAAGUAAGUGGGUAAGGGUUGUGUUUUGAAACAGUUGUCUGUGGAUGCAAGGAACACCAGGGUACCAUCAGCUCAAGGAUGAUCAGUGAGUUUCUGGACCAGUGAUGGAUGCUCAAAAACUGCUUUGAAUCUGUAUAUGAGGCUGUGGUUUUUGCAGUCUUCUGUGGUGGUUUCUGUUACCUGGAAAAUAUUUUCAAGGAUCCUCCCUCCCUAUGUGGCUUUACCUUGUUUUAUUUUGGUCCUGACAGCAUUUUUCUUUUUCCUUUUCCUUUUUCUUUUGCUUCCUUCCUUCCAUCCGUCUGUCUGUCUUUCUGUCUGACUUUCUGUCUUAAUCAUUUAUUUGUUUGUUUGUUUGUCUGUUUGUUUGUGGUGUGGAGGGCAUGCACACAUGUGCCAUGAGAGAACAGAGAUUAGGAGUCCGUUCUCUCCCCCACCAUGUGGGUCCCAGGGAUUGAACUCAGGCCUUUAGGCUACCAACUACUUUGAUACAACAGAGCAAUAAAAGUUCUAAUUUCUUUGAAUGCUUCCUCUUUUGAGACAGUCUCAAUAUUUUGCCCCUUAGCCUCACUUGCUACAAUAGACCAAGAUGGUCAGACUGACAGAGAUUCUCUACCUUCCAGGAGCUGGAAUAAAAGCCAUGUACGCCUAGCUAGCCUCCUGCAACUGUUUAGAGUUGGUGGGGUUUUGUUGUUGUUGUUGUUGUUGUUGUUUUGUUUGUUUUUGUUUUUUUGAGAGAGAGCAUGUGAGAGAGCGUGAGCUAGAGUUUGCGUGUGGAAGCCAGGAAAGGCAAUUGCUUUGCUUAGAGCUGGAGCUACAGUCACUUAGGGGCUUCUCGAGGAAUUUCAAUUCAGAACAUGGCUGCUAUGGCAAGAAAUCACAUCCAAAAAAAAAAAUCUUCUAGGUCUGUGUUAUCUGGCUGGAAUACAGAGGAACCUUGAAUCCAAGGAGACAGGCAAGCAGAUCUCUGAGUUCAAGGUCAGCCUUGUAUAGAGCAACAUUCGGUAAAGAAAAGCUUAGGUCCAGGCAUGGAGGCGCACAC